UUUGGGGCUAAUUAGAUAGUUUUUUGCUUAAAUUGUUCAUGAAAAAGCUUGAUAGACAAAUAUAACGUACACUUCUGUGCGAAUAAAGGUUAAAUUUUAUAUAUAUAAAAUUCUCUGUCGUAAAUGUUUUAGUUAUGAACCCAAAUAAAGUAUAAGCUGUUGCGAUAUCACAAUCAUAAACAUCACCUUUGUUAUGAUAUCCCACUUGCAUUUGAUAUCAGAGUGAACUCGUGCUAGUCUUAAUGCAACCAUCUCAAGUUAGGCUUGACUCUUGUCCAUGUGGUGCUGUCUCUCUGAAUUUCAUGGCAAUGCCUACAACUGCAAAACUUUACUUAAAAGCUUAGCUUUUUUUCCUCGAGUUCUCGCUUCUUUUAUAUAUAGUUAUCGUGCCCCCUAGCUCAAAACAAGGAAGUACAACUUGCAGAAUAGAAUAUAUAUAUAUAUAUAUAUAUAUACACACACACACACAAUCUCCCUCUUGUAGGAUUUGCAUGCAGUUUAUAUAUUUGUUGACAUGCAAGAUAUGAAGUUUACUCUCCUUUCUAGUAUUAUAGAAAUGUUUUUUGCAAGAAAGUGAUGUCAUCGAGUAGCAUUACAUACAAGCAAUUGCUAAAUGUAAUAAACUUAAAAGAAUAAACACCAAGCAAUUUGUAUUUUCUUCCAAAUGUAACUCAUGCAUAUGAACGGGGGUGCCCCAUUUGAGCGCACUGUUAAUGUUUUCCAUUUAAUCUUUUGGAUGCAAGUAAUUUCUCUAUGCUUUUUGUUUAUUGGGUGCAGGUUUUGAUUUUAAGCGAACGGCUUCAUGCUGUGACAUCACAGUUUGAUCAGUUGAGAGCUGUUCGCUUCCAAGAUGCUAUCAACCGAGCUAUGCCGAGAAGAAAACUAAAGAAGGCUGCCACAACAGAUUCUACUGAUAUUUCAAAGCUUAACAAGUUGGAGCUAAGGGAGCAUAUCAAUUCAGAGAUUGGGGAGACUAGUGAUGUUCAAGCAGAGCCUCUUAGAGUCCAGCAACAGCUAUUGGAUGACGAAACACGUGCACUUCAGGUAAUUAGAUAUUUAAUUCCUGAUGCAUUUCUUUAAGUCUCUCACAUUUGUGAAGUCUUCGCUCAUUAUUCACAGGUUAUUUCUUUAGCAAAGCUGUUUCUUUUGUGAUACAGGUAGAGUUGACGAGUCUUCUAGUUGCUGUACAAGAAACUGAAACUAAGAUGGUAGAAAUGUCUGCAUUGAAUCAUCUCAUGUCGACACACGUGCUGCAGCAGUCUCAACAGAUUGAACUUUUGUAUGAGCAGGUCUGAACAUUGGCAUAUGAUUAUUUAUCUGGUUGUUUAUUUAAUCAAGUUCAUCCUUAAUCAGCACGGUCAUCUUUUCAACAUUUUACAAAGAGAAAUAAUGCAGCCAGCUCUAGCUUUCUCACUACCUCUAAGAAUUGGUGAAACAAACCUACCUUUGAAAACCAAGAUCACUAGUUAAUUCACUAGAUAUGGCUUGCCAGUCAAAUGCAGCUGCUAAUUUGGUUGCUAUGUUUUUCUUUUCCUUAGUUAGGCAUGUCUCCAAUACUAAAUGACAUGGAAUUUGUCAUACCUAUGAGAAAAUUGAAAAGAACUCUUGAGCAUCUGUGUAUGACUGAAAAAUCAUGGUUUUUGAGUACUUCUAAUCGAGGAAAUUUGAAAUUUUCAAUGUCCACUACACGUUACCCGGGCAUUGAAUACAGGUAAUUUUUUGAUAGAAAAACCUUCAUGAGAUUCAACUGCCAAAACGACAUUGUUUGACAGGAAUCAAACAUUUAACUAUAGGAAUUUUACUUUUGCCCCUUCAAUUUAUAGUUUGCACGAAGUAAAAUUAUUUUACCGUUGCAAAUAAAAGCUUCUAGACUAAGUUACUGGAGUUGAUGCACUGGUUUUACGUGCACCUUGCCGCAGUUAAAUGUUCUUAGAGCAAUGCUACAUACACCUGAUUCCUUAAACUAUUGAUGUGAAGCAUCCCCCAUCCUCUCUAAAUUACCAAAAAAACUGAGACUUGGCUUUUAUAGUUAGUUUUAGGGAUACCUUGAAACAUCAGUAUGUUCAGGAUAUAGGUGCACUUGGCAUUUCUUGAUGUUCUUAAUGUUUUCUUUUAGUGUGUCCCAUCCCCAUGUUAUGUGGAAAUAUCAUUUCAACACUUUCUUUCACAAACAUUUUAUUGACAAUUCCUUGUUUGCUCAUCAACUCUAUUCUUGAUGCUUCAGUUUGUACUAAUUCUUCUUAAACCAUUUUGGUUAUACAGGCGGUUGAAGCAACCCAAAAUGUAGAGCUCGGUAACAAAGAACUGUCGCAAGCCAUCCAACGAAAUUCCAGUAGCAGAACGUUUCUUUUGCUGUUUCUAUUUGUACUUACAUUUUCAGUCCUUUUUCUUGAUUGGUAUAGUUAAAUUGGAGGGAUGAAUUAAAAUACAUUUAGGACUUCAACUAUUAUAAUAAUUAUUAUUAUUUUUUACAUAUUAUUUUGUUAAAUAAACUCGAGUAAAAAUGACUUUUGGCAGAAGAUGACAAAAACAAAAAAUGAAUAAAAGGAAAUUCAAGUCAAAAUGGGCCUAUGAGUCCAAAACAACUUCAAAUAAACCACUCGACUAUGACCCAAAAUAUGUACCUCAAUUGUGGGCAAUCCAGCCCGAAUAUCUUGAACACGAACAUUUGUAACCCGUAACCCUACAUAUAAAAGCAACUCUAUCUUUACAUUUUGCCAUUAGGGUUUUAGCUUCCUUAUUCGCAGGCGACUCUCUCUCUCAGUUGCAAAUCCUCCAGCAGCAAAAAUGGUGAAAGGACGUCAAGGCGAGCGAGUCAGGUUAGAGCUAUAGCUUUCUCUCUCCUCUCCAUUUCCAUUAAAAUCUACAAAAACAUCAUUUGAUUUUACGUUCGUGAUCGAUUGAUUUCAGGCUCUACGUAAGAGGAACAAUCCUCGGUUACAAGCGGUCUAAAUCGAACCAGUAUCCAAGCACCUCGUUGAUUCAAAUUGAAGGAGUGAACACCAAGGAGGUCACCUGGUACCAGGGUAAGCGACUAGGAUACAUCUACAAGGCCAAGGUGAAGACUGGUGGCUCACACUAUCGCUGCAUUUGGGGAAAAGUGAUUAGGCCUCAUGGUAACACUGGUGUUGUCCGUGCUAAGUUCAAGUCCAAUCUUCCUCCCAAAUCCAUGGUAUUAUUAUGCAAUCUUAUUAAAGUUUAUGUAUGUGGUUUCUUAUAUAUAAGUUUUUUGAAAUGGGGUUUUGAUUUGUGUAAUUGUUCGUUGUUUGCAGGGAGCUAGGGUCAGGUUUUUCAUGUACCCAUGUAAUAUAUGAAGGGUCAGGGUUUUCAUGUACCCAAGUAAUAUAUGAGGUAAUGUACUUGCCUUUUUGUGCUAUUGUAUUUUAGUAAUGGUUUAUUUGUUUGCUUUUGUUUUCCAUUUGAUUUGGUGCAAAUUGGAGAGUAUAAGCUCUGUAUUAGUUCAUUAACAUAUAUUUUGGGUAAUUUCUAGCUGCCAGGUUAGGACCUGAAAAAAACAUUUAAGUUAUUGUGACAUUUGUAGUUACCUUUGUUUUUUUAACUUUAGUUAACCUUAAUAAGCUUGUCUCUGAACUUGAUUACAUGCAUAUUGUAGUUUCUGUUUCUGUGUGUGUGAUCUUUUUUGAUGGCUGGCCUUGAAAAGUUGAUUAAUUUUAAAAUAUUACGGUCAUGAGACAUAUGAAUAAUUAACAAGUACCAAGAUUUAUGGUUGUUUCCUAUUAAAAGGCCACAAUAAUUUCCCCUUGACUUAUAGCAUUUCUAGCAGGCCGGUAAUGAACAAUUAUAUUUAGUCUAGGAUACAAAUUUCGCUCCAGCAAACAGACUAAAGAUAGUCCAUCGAAUUUUUUGGCAAGGCUAAACGACUAAAGAUGAAGAAAGAAGAAGAUGAGAAGGGUCUUAAUAAAAAAGUAACGAAUAGAAAUUAAAAAAUUUAUAAAUAUGCACAAUAAUUUAAUAUAUUUUACCUAUCUCUCAAUCAACUACUUCAACCUUUAACAAUUAUAAGUAUUUUGUUAAUAAUAAUUUAUAUUUUUAUUAUAUUUGAUAUUUAUUUUUUAAUUGAUAAUAUUUCUUUAAUUUAUUUUUUAGGUGGAAAAUUAUGGUCCUCUUAUGUAUUAUAUUAUUUUUUAUUAUAUUUGAGUUUUUUUGAAUUUAUUGAUUAUUUUAAUUUUUUUAUAUUAUAGUCCACGGGAUAGUCCACAUGAUAGUCCAUUUGUUGGAAGGAUUGAAGACCAAUGGACAUCUGCUGAUGUCAUAUGGAUUAAAUAUAGAUAGUCCAUCUGUUGGAGAUGCUCUUAGUAGCAGAAGAUUUACAAAACUUUGCAUUUCUUAAAUUGUAAUAGGUUUGGACUUGAGUAAUCUCAGUAACAUGAAGACCAUACACAGGUUGGGUAAUUUUUUUAAGGGGAUUGAUAUUUUCGUAGGUUAUUUUGAUAGUUCUGCAAUGGCCCCACAUUCAAAUUGAAAAUCAUCUUUUGUGCCCAAUUUACCCCUAUUUGCAGCAACACACCAUUCCUCUCUCUCUCUCUCCCACCUUCUGCACUUCAUCUUCUCUUUCUAACCUCCACAACUAUCCCAAUCUAACCCAAUUUUCUCUAACCCAAUUUCACCUACUCAAGUAGAAAGUAAGUAAUCUUUCGUUCGAUGAGAGAGACCCACAAAUAUGAACUACAUAGAAAUUAUCUAAUCCAAUCCAUCAUCUCCUCCCUCUGUCAAAACUCCCCCGUACCUGCAUCUAAUUCAAAUCCAUAGUUGUCAUGGCGUCACCAAGGCAUCGCCUAGCGUUGGAGAACGGCAAGGUGCCUUGGAUGUCGAGCCGCCAAAGCUCACACCUUGGUAGCUGGUCCAAGUUAAGUGAUUAAGUCAUUUUUUACCUAUCACUCAUCAUAACCCAUCAUGAAUUUGUUAUGUUGUGUAAUUUUAUUACUUAUUAUACUUGUAAUGGGUGAUGGGUAAGUCAUCAUUCUUUAUUUUUAAUGUGGUGUUUAUUAACCUGUUCUACUAGUUUUUAGUUUCAAGUGUUUUAUUUUUGAAUUUUGAUUGUGAAGUAUUUAUAUAAUUGUGUUUAUAAUUGUAUUUCAUAGUGUUAGUUAUUAUGAUUUGGGUAUUAAUGUAUAUAAAAUUUUAUUGUUCAAUAUACUUUUAAAGUAAAAUAAUAAUGUAUAAAUUGCAUAUUGUUAACAACUUGUGACCAUACGGACGUCAUUGCUGGUGCCUUAUUGUUUAGGCGUCUUGACGGUCAACUACCAUUGCAUCUCGCCAUGCNNNNNNNNNNNNNNNNNNNNNNNNNNNNNNNNNNNNNNNNNNNNNNNNNNNNNNNNNNNNNNNNNNNNNNNNNNNNNNNNNNNNNNNNNNNNNNNNNNNNAGAUGCUCUUAGUAACAGAAGAUUUAUAAAAGUUUGUAUUUCUUAAUUGUGUAAAAUGUUUGGACUUCAGUAAUCUCAGUAACAUGAAGACUAUACACGUGCUGGGUAAUUUUUUUGAGGGGAUUGAUAUUUUCGCAGGUUAUUUUGAUAGUUCUGUAAUGGCCCCACAUUCAAACUGAAAAUCAUCUUUUGUGCCCAAUUUACCCCUAUUUGCAACAACACACCAUUCCACUCUCUCUCUCUCUCCCACCUUCUGCACUUCAUCUUCUCUUUCUAACCUCCACAACUAUCCCAAUCUAACCCAAUUUUCUCUAACCCAAUUUCACCUACUCAAGUAGAAAGUAAGUAAUCUUUCGUUCGAUGAGAGAAAGACCCACAAAUAUGAACUACAUAGAAAUUAUCUAAUCCAAUCCAUAGUCUCCUCCCUCUGUCAAAACUCCCCCGUACCUGCAUCUAAUUCAAAUCCAUAGUUGUCAUAGUGGUUUUAUGAUGUCUUUAUCAUGUUAGAUCUAUUGAAUGACGAGGGACGUGGUGCAAAGAUCAGUAGACGGCGGAGCUCAAUUAGGUGUUGUAACAAGUAGGGCAAAAUGGACACAAAUAAAUUGCUUUUAAUUAGGAUGUAGGGUCCAUUGCGGAAAUAUCAAUUCCCUUUUUUUAAUUAAUUGAAAACCAAAUAAUCCGUUGAAAGUCAUGUAUCUGUGUGUGCUAAAUGGUAUUGUCACUUCAAACUUCUUUAGAAUUAUCUCUUAUUUACUUUUAUAACAGAUUUACCACUUACUUAUUUGUGAAUCCUAGAUCUCCAAUAUGGUAUUUUUACUGCAAGUGCAAGCUUCCUUAGAAAUGUAGCAUUUAGAGUAAAUGCUUGUCCCCUAGUUGUCAAUGAAAGAGUUAACUUCUAUCCAAGCAUUGUUUUAUUGGUACAGGGACACAUUUCCUUUGGGCCUUGUUUUUGUGAAAGAGUCCAACUUAACUAAUAAAACUUAAAAUAAAUGAAUUGUUACCUCGAUCAAGGAUUAUUCAUUAACCUCUUUAUACAUUGCGUAAUGCCUGCUUUUGUAGACAUGUUUAUAUGAUUGUUUUAUGUUGUAAUUUUGUUUGUGUUUUCUUAUUUCAGUUUCUCCUCAAGGGAAGAAGAAAGGAUUGUCAUAUUUCUAGCUUCAAAAGGUUUUGAAUAUCAUUGUCGAAGUCAACACCGAUUGGAGUGACUUGCAUUUUCGUUUUUAUUUCUUUUGGAGAGCUGAAUGCUAUGUAAUUUCUCAAGUUAAAGUAGCAUUUUUCUUUGCACAAUUUUUUGCCUGUUUAGUACACAAUUCUAGAACAUAUGACAUGAUUUGACGAAAUUAUAAUUAUUUGGGUUCUCGGUUAUUCCUUGCUUUGAACUAAUAGAGAGAUUGAGGAUGGGGAGCGAAAGAGUAGUAGGAAAGUGAUAAUUUUAGGUGGCAAAGGCUCUUUUCUUGCGCAUUGAUUCUUCUUCCAAAAUUUCAGGGCUUCUCUUUAUGUACCUGCUGCUAAUUUCCAUGUUAGUGGUGUUUCAAACUUACACGAAGCUUUUUGGGUUCCUUCCCAUCUGCAUCUUCUUGCUGCUUUGUUUAUUUGACUCUUUUUGUACUUGGUUUCAAGUUUUUAGUAAUGAAAUUUUAUUACUUGUUAGUAGUAGUAGUGAAAUGUGGUAAUCUUAUAACUUCAUUUAACUAACCCGUUAAUAUAUUUCCACAUCUAAACGCCUAAUGUCCAUCCUAUAUUAGUGUAAUUUUGCUGAUAUUCAGAUUCAGUAUGAUUUAUUUAUGGAUGUGGUGGACUAGGCAUAUUUUAUAGUAAAAUGGAGUCUACCACCAUUGCUGAUACCAGAGUUCUACCCGGCUUGGUUGAAAAUGUUUGAAAGAUGGUUUGAUUAGUCUACUUUUGGGGAUUAAAGAAAACAAGUUCAGACUUCAGAGUGAUAAUUGUUUCUGGCUUUAUAAUAAUAAUGCUCUUAACUAAUGUAUUGAUUGCUCAAACUAGUUUCGAUUUGGAAAACACUAUCAAUUAUACAGUUUUUGCUGCAACAUCUGGAGGAAAAAUUGUUCAGUUUUCUCACAUUUCUCCUUGGAUUUCUAUUUGAUAAGGUUUGAAUGGUUAUGAUAGUUGUUGAAUAAUUUGUUUAACAGUUACCAUCUCCAAUAUUUCUGAUUCAGAUGGCUCAUAAGAAUUGGAGGGCUGUCCUUUAUUAGGACAUUCUACUUUGUUUUCCAAAUAUUUUUCUCUAAUAACAUUUCCUCUUUUACCUCAGAAAAAUUUUCAGGAUUACAUCUAUUUUGCAUUGACCAAAACUGCAACUGCUGUGAUCACAGAAAACCCUUAAAAGGGUAGGGUAGGGAGCAUGAAGUUCAUUUUUGGGUAAGUUGGUCAAUAGAAUGCUGACACACAUAGAGUCUUGUAUGCGUGUCAGCAUUCUAUUGGUCAAUUGACCAACUUACUCAAAAAUGAACUUCAUGCUAACCAUUUUCGUAGGGAAGGUAAGCCUCCAUUAAUGAUGCAAAAGAAACAGGUAGUUUAUUGUCUGUCCUGGAUUCGAAAUUACCAAAUUAUGAUGCAAAGGAAAACAUGAAUAUGUUGAGUGAAGUCUGAGAGCAAAGGAGCUUCCACAACAAAAGUGUCGCUAUAGAUCUUAUAGCGACGAUUUUCACUGUCGUUAUACAUCUUCAGCGACAUUUUUGUUGUAAAAAUAAUAAAAAAUAUUAUGGAUUUAACGAUUCAUCUUUUUUUUUUCUUGGCAAAUUUAUAAUCAAGUUAUAUGAACAUUCACAAGCAAAUUAUGAGAAUCAUAUUUCAAGUUUUUUCACUAUCAAAUUAUGAGUGACCAAGCAAAGGUCUUAGUAUGUUCACUUAUACUUCAAUAGAUUCUACCCAAAUGUAUAAGCUACUUAUAAAAAUAUUCAAACAUUCAAUUCAACAUGUAACAGAUAGAAAAAGCUAAAAGAAAAUCAUAACAUUGCAAAAUCUUUUUAAGCCUCAAAAUAACAAAUAUGGAUGUGGGGGGUCAAAUGUAGUUUGAACACUAUAUAUUUACCAUGUUGUAACAUGAAUAUGUGCAAAACAAACAAAAAUAGCAUGAAAACAGAUCUCCAUUAUCGACAUAUACAGGAAAAUGCACAUAUACGGAAACAAUAUAUACAUGUAAAUAUAAAGAUAAUAGAGCUGAGAAAAAGUUGGAGCAAAUUAAUACCAACCUAAAGGUCAAGUCUUUCUGAUGCUACGCUGCAGGGUACAGUUUACUCUGGUCAGAAAUCCUAGUAUGAAAAAAAUCAGAUAGAGAUCAAAACUAGUAUUAUGAACAAAACCCAGCAUUAAAAAGCUGAUUGAAAAUAUCCCCAAUUCAAAAAUCAAAAGAAAAGAGAGAGAGAGUUAAAAUUAUAUCUCAAAAUUUCAAUAUUUUUAAGAAUCCCAGUAGAAUAAUCGAACUGAAAGAAAUGAUAACACCCACCAGAGUCGAAGAAUCGGUGUUUGAUGGUUGGAUCUUUGGCCGGAUCUCAAACGUAGAUCAGGCUGCUUUUUGUAUUUAAAAAUGUAAAUCAGGUUUUCACAUCUGCCAC
rnacentral:lncRNA from 1 species